GACGAACGCUGGCGGCGUGCCUAAUACAUGCAAGUAGAACGCUGAAGGAGGAGCUUGCUCUUCUGGAUGAGUUGCGAACGGGUGAGUAACGCGUAGGUAACCUGCCUGGUAGCGGGGGAUAACUAUUGGAAACGAUAGCUAAUACCGCAUAACAGUAGAUGUUGCAUGACAUUUGCUUAAAAGGUGCAAUUGCACCACUACCAGAUGGACCUGCGUUGUAUUAGCUAGUUGGUGGGGUAACGGCUCACCAAGGCGACGAUACAUAGCCGACCUGAGAGGGGGAUCGGCCACACUGGGACUGAGACACGGCCCAGACUCCUACGGGAGGCAGCAGUAGGGAAUCUUCGGCUAUGGACGGAAGUCUGACCGAGCAACGCCGCGUGAGUGAAGAAGGUUUUCGGAUCGUAAAGCUCUGUUGUAAGAGAAGAACGAGUGUGAGAGUGGAAAGUUCACACUGUGACGGUAUCUUACCAGAAAGGGACGGCUAACUACGUG
rnacentral:rRNA from 1 species